GACGAACGCUGGCGGCGUGCUUAACACAUGCAAGUCGAACGGAAAGGCCCUGCUUGCCGGGUACUCGAGUGGCGAACGGGUGAGUAACACGUGGGUGAUCUGCCCUGCACUUCGGGAUAAGCCUGGGAAACUGGGUCUAAUACCGGAUAGGAGCCAUUUUUAGUGUGAUGGUUGGAAAGUUUUUUUCGGUGUAGGAUGAGCUCGCGGCCUAUCAGCUUGUUGGUGGGGUAAUGGCCUACCAAGGCGGCGACGGGUAGCCGGCCUGAGAGGGUGGACGGCCACAUUGGGACUGAGAUACGGCCCAGACUCCUACGGGAGGCAGCAGUGGGGAAUAUUGCACAAUGGGCGCAAGCCUGAUGCAGCGACGCCGCGUGGGGGAUGGCGGCCUUCGGGUUGUAAACUCCCUUCGCUAGGGACGAAGCUUUUUGUGACGGUACCUAGAUAAGAAGCACCGGCUAACUACGUG
rnacentral:rRNA from 1 species